rnacentral:rRNA from 1 species
AUGUUAUCUUCCGUGUAUUUGCUCAAUAGCUCAUUAGCGUAUUCUAAUAUAGAAAUCAAUGAGCUAACCAUAAUAUAUAUUUUCUUCACGCAGGUCUCGGUUAGUCUCCAGAACUACCAGCUCUACCGCCACCUCGAGGAUCCAGGGUGGCGGCUGAGCUGGUUUUGGGCUGGCGAUGAGGUGAUCUUGGACGCGAAGGGCGCGGAGGCGACCGAGCAGGGAAACUGCACUCGCUUCGUCGGUGCUCACAGCUGCGAGAAGCGGCCUGUAAUGAAGGACCUGGGCCCCGGCGUGCCGUACAACCUUCAGGUCGCCAACUGCUGCCGGGGCGGUGUCCUGUCUUCGGUCAUGCAGAACAGCAAGGCGGCCACAUCGACGUUCAUGAUGACCGUCGGCAACUUUGCUCCUUCCAGCGACGGCAGCCCCCAGAUGCCAUUCAAUUUCAGCAUUGGGGUGCCAGGUUACACUUGCAGCAAUGCCACAGUGGUCGGGUACGAUGCGAUCACAGUGACUUCCAUGGCGCCGCAGUGCAAGGGACCCAAGGCCGAGCCUGCUGUCCGAUGCACUGGGCACAUGUGCCCAAUCCAGGUGCACUGGCACAUCAAGAAAAGCUACCGGGAGUACUGGCGUGUGAAGAUGACUGUUAACAACUUCAACACGCUGAAGAACUUUAGUGACUGGAACCUGCUAGUGCAGCACCCCGGUAUGCAGAACCUGACAAAAGUCUUCAGCUUCAACCACCACCCGCUAGUCCAGUAUGGCACAAUAAACGACACAGAGCUGUUCUGGGGGCUCCCGAACUUCAACACGAGGUUGCUGCAGGACGGCUACGUGCAGUCAGAGAUCCUACCGAGGAAGGACCAGGACUUCACCUUCGAUGCAGGUUGGGCGUUCCUGAUCAGGAAGAUGUACUUGGACGGCGGUGAGUGCGCGAUGCCACCACCUGACGACUACCCACCGCUGCCCAGCGCCAGCUGCGAUCAGCGCCUCUCGGCAGUGCUGAGGUCACUGCUCGCGGGCCUCGUCUUGUUGUUUCUCCUGUUCUAG